rnacentral:snoRNA from 1 species
GUCUUCUCAUCAAACUCCUUUCUGUCAAUUGUGGCAUUUUAUGGAUUCACAUGAGAAGAAACAAUUCAUGGAACCAGCAUUAUUUUUCCUUUGGUUUUUUACAGGAGUGUAUUUGGCUUACAGAUAUUC